rnacentral:rRNA from 1 species
CAGCAGCCGCGGGAAUACGUAGGUCCCGAGCGUUGUCCGGAUUUAUUGGGCGUAAAGGGAGCGCAGGCGGUUUAGUAAGUCUGAAGUUAAAGGCAUUGGCUCAACCAAUGUAUGCUUUGGAAACUGUUAGACUUGAGUGCAGAAGGGGAGAGUGGAAUUCCAUGUGUAGCGGUGAAAUGCGUAGAUAUAUGGAGGAACACCGGUGGCGAAAGCGGCUCUCUGGUCUGUCACUGACGCUGAGGCUCGAAAGCGUGGGUAGCGAACAGGAUUAGAUACCCCCGUAGUCCCUGUCUCUUAUACA